GAAGGUCCCCCACACUGGUACUGAGACACGGACCAGACUCCUACGGGAGGCAGCAGUGAGGAAUAUUGGUCAAUGGGCGGGAGCCUGAACCAGCCAAGUCGCGUGAGGGAUGACGGCCCUAUGGGUUGUAAACCUCUUUUGCCGGGGAGCAAAGUGCCGCACGUGUGCGGUUUGGAGAGUACCCGGAGAAAAAGCAUCGGCUAACUCCGUGCCAGCAGCCGCGGUAAUACGGAGGAUGCGAGCGUUAUCCGGAUUUAUUGGGUUUAAAGGGUGCGUAGGCGGACGCUUAAGUCAGCGGUAAAAUUGCGGGGCUCAACCUCGUCGAGCCGUUGAAACUGGGUGCCUUGAGUGGGCGAGAAGUACGCGGAAUGCGUGGUGUAGCGGUGAAAUGCAUAGAUAUCACGCAGAACUCCGAUUGCGAAGGCAGCGUACCGGCGCCCAACUGACGCUGAAGCACGAAGGCGUGGGUAUCGAACAGGAUUAGAUACCCUGGUAGUCCACGCAGUAAACGAUGAAUGCUAGUUGUCCGGGGCGAUUGAGUUCUGG
rnacentral:rRNA from 1 species